rnacentral:rRNA from 1 species
UGGGGAAUAUUGGACAAUGGGCGAAAGCCUGAUCCAGCCAUGCCGCGUGUGUGAAGGAGGUCUUCGGAUUGUAAAGCACUUUAAGUUGGGAGGAAGGGCAGUUACCUAAUACGUAUCUGUUUUGACGUUACCGACAGAAUAAGCACCGGCUAACUCUGUGCCAGCAGCCGCGGUAAUACAGAGGGUGCAAGCGUUAAUCGGAAUUACUGGGCGUAAAGCGCGCGUAGGUGGUUUGUUAAGUUGGAUGUGAAAUCCCCGGGCUCAACCUGGGAACUGCAUUCAAAACUGACAAGCUAGAGUAUGGUAGAGGGUGGUGGAAUUUCCUGUGUAGCGGUGAAAUGCGUAGAUAUAGGAAGGAACACCAGUGGCGAAGGCGACCACCUGGACUGAUACUGACACUGAGGUGCGAAAGCGUGGGGAGCAAACAGGAUUAGAUACCCCCGUAGUCCCUGAGCGGGCUGGCAAGGCGCAU